rnacentral:lncRNA from 1 species
AUUCUAAAGAACCAUGGUACCCUGUGACUGGCAAAGCAAUUAGAGCUGAUGUGCAUAAUUGCCAUAUAAACUUCAUAGCCCAGCAUCACGCCAGCUGGACCCCACACUCACUCACUCACACAUCCCCUCCCACCAGGGGCUGAGUGUGCAGUCAUGGUGGCCCCAGGGUCCCAGUCAGAGCACCAGCCAGACGCCGCCCAGUGGGCUAAGUAUCUGUUGCAUUUUCAACUUCUGGAGCUGUGCAUUUAUUAGUAGAAAUACACCGAGGGGGAGGGCUGCUCCAAACACCGAAAUGGAAUUGUCAGUCAGAGGGUAUUUACUUUACUUUUGUUUAUAUUGGUCAUUAGCUUUCUGGAAGUCUGUGCCUACUUUUGCUGCCAUCAACUCUGUGUGCGAUGACGACUUCUUCACCAAUUUAUUCUUUGUACUCCAGGGGCAAGUCAGGAUCACACAGAGGAAUUUGUGGAGAAAAGUAUUUCAACUUACUCUCACAAAUAGGUGCGCUUUCUUUUAUUUUUUCUGGAAUUUCUAUAUUAUAUCCCUGUGUGUUUGUGUGUAGUGUGUUUGUGUGUAUAUAUGUGUCAUUUCAAGUCUGGUCCUUGAUGAAUUCUGGAGAAUUCAAUCUUGUCUUCAUUAUCCCU